UACUCUCACACUUCCAAUUGUUUAGAUUGGGAGCGGUGGACUUGGGUGUUGCUGCGUUACUGUGGCUCACCUUAAAUGCAGUAGUGCACCUUUCGGUUGGACAUAGUACGGCGUGAUAAGUGUCUUCGCCGGCACCUCCUCACAGAGGGUGGCUGAUCGGGAGCUCUGUGCUUCAAACCGUCUUCGGACAACAACUGACA
rnacentral:misc_RNA from 1 species